rnacentral:lncRNA from 1 species
AACAAUCUAUGUUUGAGUUAGAAGAUAAAUCGAGUUAUACCUUAAAAGUUGACAAAUUACUUGAGCUACUCCCCUCAUACUUCUUUUGAAGGCAAUUCCGCUUUAUUUGUCAGAGAUGGCACCGACACACCUGAGAGGAGGAAUGAACAUGAUGUUUCAAGUGGCAACAACUUUUGGAAUUUUCACAGCCAACAUGGUGAAUUAUGGAACACAGAAGAUUAAACCUUGGGGAUGGAGGUUGUCCCUAGGAUUGGCUGCAAUACCUGCUCUUUUGAUGACGAUAGGAGGUAUAUUUCUACCUGAGACUCCAAAUAGCUUAAUAGAACGAGGAUCAAAUGAAAGAGGAAGGAAGCUCCUAGAAAAAAUCCGAGGAACUAGCGAGGUUGACGCGGAGUUUCAAGAUAUGGUUGAAGCAAGCGAGUUGGCAAACUCAAUAAAGGACCCGUUUCGUAACAUCCUUAAAAGAAGGUAUAGGCCAGAGUUGGUGAUGGCAAUUGUCAUGCCAACUUCACAGAUCUUGACUGGCAUAAAUUCCAUUCUAUUCUAUGCUCCAGUAUUGUUUCAAAGC